rnacentral:misc_RNA from 1 species
CACUUCUCUUCCUCUCUUGUUUUAUAGAGCAUUGGUUAGGGAAGAAACCAAUGGCUGCGAGGGGUGCAAUUGGGAUCGUGUCUUUAGUGCUGUUUUUGACUCUUGUUGAUGCAAGAAUUCCUGGUGUUUACACUGGUGGAUCAUGGCAAAGCGCCCAUGCUACUUUCUAUGGAGGCAGUGAUGCCUCUGGGACAAUGGGUGGUGCUUGUGGGUACGGAAACCUGUACAGCCAAGGCUACGGGGUGAACACUGCAGCUCUAAGCACAGCCCUGUUCAACAACGGCCUUAGUUGUGGUGCUUGUUUUGAAAUCAAAUGUGCUAAUGAUCCACAAUGGUGCCAUGCCGGUAGCCCAUCAAUCUUUGUCACAGCCACAAACUUUUGCCCUCCUAACUAUGCUCUGCCAAGUGACAAUGGCGGGUGGUGCAACCCUCCUCGUCCUCACUUCGAUCUUGCCAUGCCCAUGUUCCUCAAGAUCGCAGUGAGGACGAGGAGGGUUGCACCACCCG